UCCUCCCCAUUUUCGUGAUCUCCUCCUCAUGCUGAUCAUCCCCAUAUUCAAUCUGAUCAGAUCAGACGCACCGGAUUGAUCCAAACUUGAAAGCUUGAUCUAGGACGAUCUAGGCCGAAUCAGACUUAGCUCCAGGUACUUGACGGUUUGAGUUGACGAGCGUUUGGAAUAUCGUUAUAAUUGACUUGUUAGAAGACGCAACGGGAUUAGAGCGGGUAAUCUCACAGGUCAGGAGAAUCAGGGCAGUGAUCGUGCGGUUUAGAGUAUUAGUAUUGGAUUUACAGCAUUUGUUUUGUGAGGAGAAUUAUACUCAUUGAGUUUUAUAAUUUGAUUUGGUGAGAGUGUGCUGUAAUAAGUAGCUUGAGGUUUUGGUUUAUGUAAUAUCAAGAGGUGUAAUUAGUGGUUGCUUCUGAGAGAAAAAUUCAGAACGUAUUUGUAUUGUUAUUAGUCAUGUUCCGGAUUUGAAUCCUUAUUUC
rnacentral:lncRNA from 1 species